rnacentral:tRNA from 1 species
GGUUCCAUAGUGUAGCGGUUAGCCCGUCUGCUUUACACGCAGAAGGUCCUGGGUUCGUGCCCCAGUGGAGCCA